AUGAUGGUAGAGCUCUGAACUAACUGUUAGUUAGAUUGUGCCAUAGAAUUCUCACAAAUUAAAUUUAUCUUCCAAGUUGAGGAAAAAGGACAUAACAAAGAGGAACCAGCAAGAGGGAACACAAGAAUACUGUCAAGAAGCAUUUCUUCAUCAACAGUAGUGUGGCUGGGUAAAGGCAGACUGGGAAAGAUGUACUAGAAGGCUGAUUUUCCUCACGGGAGGCAAAAUGACAUACCACUUCCAGUAGAAUCCAUGCAGCAUCAACAGUGUAUUCAGCCAAGACUCAGACUGCAUUUCAGAUCCAAACCUGGGAGGCAUCAGACCCACUUGGAAGGAAACUGUAGGUAGAUUUUAUAGAAACUGCUGACCAAGACCCAAAUCUCCAGUGGGAGCCUACAUGGGUGACUGGCUAUCCUAAUAGUCUUCUUAUCAAGUAGAAGAGUUUGACAGUAAAGAAAGCUGGAGGCCAAUUGCUGUGCGGAAAGUACAGACAGGAAUUCUGGAUUCCAGGAGGAAAAGGCAAGCAUAAGUAAAGAAAGAGGAGUUUUUCUACCAUGCUUUGGAAGAAAGAAAGAAAGAAAGAAAGAAAGAAAGAAAGAAAGAAAGAAAGAAAGAAAGAAAGAAAGAAAGAAAGAAAGAAAGAAAGAAAGAAAGAAAGCAACAAUCAUGUGAGGUCUGAUGAAGUCUGUUGUUCUCUGAACCUUGACCAGUUGGGGACUCUGUUGUUAAUUACCAUCUACAGAAGAAAGAACAUUCACUGAUGGGAACUGAGUGAUUCACUUCUCUAGUAGUAUAAUGAUAAGCAACUAUAAAACGAUGCCAUUUAGCAAAUAAUAGCAGUAAUGUCCAUAGCCUGUAGAAUCAAAUUGUUCUUUGCCCUGAUAAUGGUGUUAGGAAUGUGUUUCAUCUUGUGAGGAAAGAAGCCUCCUGCAGUCAGCUUAUAACUCAUGGAAACUCGUUUGCAGGCACUUUUAGAGGGAUUAUGAGAGUUGAAUCAAGUAUGAUAGGAUCUUCAUUCACCAAAACCAAUGCUUGAUCAUGGAGAUUUCAGAGAAAACCUCAUUGGUUCCAGCAAGGGCCAUUAGCACUCUGAAAUGCUUCCUUUGCUUGUACUACUAAGACCUUCAGCUGCUUUGAGACCUGGCCCACAGACUUGACAGAACU
rnacentral:lncRNA from 1 species